rnacentral:lncRNA from 1 species
CCUGAAAACAGAAAUAAAUCCAUUCUAACCCAAAUACUACACACGUACACAUUGAUUUUCCAGAUCUCGCGCUUGGCUUCAGUAUGCGACACGGCAGGACCUGGCUCAUUUACCACCUCGUCAGAGCUACAGCAGCUACCGCCUGUGCUCUGCCCAUUUCACCAGCAGAGACUACGCAGACCCUGGACAGACAAGGCUGCUAAGAUGUGCUGUGCCAACAGUUUCCAUCUUUGGCGAUGGGCAGACACACGUCGAAAGUCCAGGCUCUCCUCGGCCCGCCAAUACCACUGCAAUGCCCGCUCACAGCGCCGAUGAAGAAGUUCAACAGACUGAGCCCUCAUGUUUCAAUCCAGCCGAUCGACAACACAAGCCUUCUAGGUGCUCGCCCCGGACAGCCAGAAAAAUGAAGAACCUGGAGAAGAUAAAUUCAAGGCUUUGGAAGGCACUGUCAAGAAUUGGCAAGAGAAAGGUUAAAAAGCUUUCCCAGUCCGAGGCGUUGAAUGCUAUCAGGCCCUAUGUCCGCAAGACAUUCUUUAGAUUGCUUGAGACUCAAGUUAAAAUUAAUGGCGUGAAACGUAGAGGACGGAGGUGGUCGCCUGAGCACCGCCAGUUCGCUUUAAACUUAUACUUUCAUGGUCCGAAAGCGUACAGACAUCUGUCAAGACUGCUUGACAUGCCAACUGUGAGGUCGCUAAAGCAGUGGUUAUGAAAUAUUCCGAUGACUCCCGGAGUUAUUCCAACCGCUAUUGAAGCCCUCGAAGAAGCUACCCGAAAUUGGCAUUUAACAGAUCGUGCGUGCACAUUAAUAUUUUAAUAAAUGUCCUAGAAGGAACAUCUGCAGUAUGAUGCAAAGCAUGACAUUGUGAUGGGAUUCUCCGAUGACGGUAGGCAAAGAACACCAGCCGUGGCAAAUUCAGCGCUCCUGAUACUUGUGGCAGGCAUUUCGAAAACGUGGAUUCAGCCUGUUGCUUACACAGUAUCAAGGACCAAAACACACGCAGAUACUCUUCAUCAUCUGAUCAUAACAAUAAUCAAGCAGCUGCAGGGAGCCCGGUUGUUUGUGAAGGCGCUCAUCUGCGACCAGGGGGGAAGCAACAUCACUUUGGCAAGUAAGCUAGGUGUGACGCCUGAAGAGCCGUUUUUUGUGCUUGAAGGCCGCAAGAUUUAUUUCCUAUAUGACACACCACACUUACUUAAAUGCACAAGGAAUAAUCUCCGCGCACCUCACAAGC